GAAAUAGACGGCGGCAAAGACAUGCAACACGACCCAGCCUUGACGCAAUUGCUCCACUGUGCGGAGUAGAAGAGUGUUAAGUUUUGACAUUUACAUGCAGACACCAUAUAACAGAGUAUCAUACAUUACGAGCGUGCGAACUCGUGGUAAAUGAAAACAAUAACAUCGAAUAACGUAAAUUUAAGGCGUCGUUGUAAACAAACAAGGAAAUAAUAAGCUGUUUAAAAAUAAGUGAAUUUUGAUUAAUUUCGAGUUAAUCUUGUGUUGUGAGUGUGAUUUAAAGUGCAUAAUAUAUAAAAAAAGUUUAUAAUAGUGUAAUAAGAAUAGUGUAAUAAAAUGAAAGUGAAAAUGUGUGAAACACGUGCGCGAAAGUAGCUGGGAAAUUGGCUUAAACAUUCUGCGGUAACUGCGGCAGUUCUGUGCGCAAACGACUUACAUACUUUGUGGACCUACUGAACGAAAUUGAAAUGCUACAAUACAUAUGUAGUAAAAGAGCAGUUAAUUCGUGUUGGUGCAGCGUAAUUUAGAGCGCAUAUUAUUUUGUGCAACAUAACCUUAAUGCAGUUAACUAGCAGCUGGGUUAGCGCACUUUGUUCGCAUUAUCGGUACAUUUGUAAUGAUAAACUAGAAUUGCGGCAGUGCUUAAAGUAUGCUUGAAACUUUUUACAAAAAGACUGAGGUUUACUUUUUUUGCUGGUUAUUUAUUUACUCCGGCACAUAAGCAACAAAGCUUGAGUUAAGCAAUAAGCAGCAAGUGUGAAGGCAGCGACACUUUAUUAAGACACAAAACAAAGUAACCCUGAGUAUUUCACAACUAGAUGUCGCGCUUGUGUAAGCAAACUGACAGUUAACGGAAAUUAAAUUUGUGGUGUCAUGCAAUUAGACAUUUUUUACAUUCUCUAAACAUUUAAAUCUAUUUUAUUAAAAGUGAGUAUAAUUUUCAUUCAAAGCUUGUUAAAACUGGUUAAGGUGGCUUAAAGUGUGUAAAUAAGAAGCAGAAAUUGUGAAGUAAUCAGAAAAAGUGAUUUAAGUGCAAUAGCAAAGCGCCCAGCAGGCAUAAGUGCCACGAUGUGCUGCUUUAUGUGCUAAAACUGUCAACAGGAGUAGAAGCAAAACCUUUUUUUCUAACAUUUACGCUUCUGUAGAGUAAAUUUGUUGAAAAGUACAUUAAAUAUUAAAUAUUAUUAAGUAUUCAUCAUGAAUACUCGAAAGUGUUACAUCUUAAUUAUAGUGUGCAUGCACGACCAAAUAGUGUGUGAAGGUGUGCAGAACUGUUGGCGCGGAGCUGCAACUCAUACUUACUCAGUUACUACCAACACGGCAGCAUUUAAAACACUGGAGCAUCUGAAACGACUCACGCUUUUUAUAGUAUGCCAUGGUCUAGCCGCUUGUUGUUGUAUGAUCACUGCACUACAUUUGGAGUUUGGAGCUUUAAGCUCAUGAUAUUACUAGAAAUCGUUGGAGCCGAUACCGUCAUUGAGCUUUUUGUUGUCCAGUUAGGUUAGCAUAAAGAGCACACCGUUAUUUUGGAGCAAAAUUCCGCAUAACAACUAGUCUUCAAUGCACAGAAAAUCAUCAUAACGAUUAGCAAGCUCACAUUCUUCGAGAGUGCCCAUAAUUACUGUUAGAAGACAACUUUUUCGAUGCCAAAACUUUGUGAGGUGGUCUGUAGCAGAUUUGUUGAGGGUCUACCAAAAAGGACCACUCAAAUCGAAUUUCGGCUAUAAGGCGCUGAAUGUUGUCUUCGAGCUCCGCGAGCGUUGUUGGUUGAUUGGCGUAAACCUUUGAUUUAACAUAACCGCAGAGAAAAUGAUCUAGAGGCCUUAAAUCGCCUGAUCCUGGUGACCAUUUGACUUGGUCAUGUCUCGAAAUUAACGAGUCGCCAAAAUGUGCACGCAACGUGUCCAUGUGUAGACGUAACAGCAUGAAACAUGAGUCGGUGCACCAUCUCGUUGGAAAAAGAGAAAGUCCUCCCCAUAGUUAGACGCUGUACAUUGACUGUAUAAACAAGUAUGGAAGGCCUAACUGCUGAAGAGUUGUUGUACUACUGAAUUAAAUAAAGAGAACUGGAAGUUAGCUGUCCUAGAGCUGUUUUCACCAUCAUAAUGCUCUUAUUUUGUCCAGCACUGUAUGUUUCGUUUCAUGACGACGAAUGAGCUUUUCCGUCCAACCGUGGUAAUUUAAGUUCCGCGAAAGUCUCGGGUACUUCCGGAACAGUUAAAGGAAAUACUAAGCCCAAAAAUAGCAGUAAAAAACCUAAGCUUGCCCUAAUUAUAUGAAACAGGACGAAAGUGAACACAUAAAGGAUAAUAAAAUAAAAAAUUUAUAAAAUUGCAAAAAAUGGUAAUCAGAAAUGUAAAUUUGU
rnacentral:lncRNA from 1 species